UUGAAAGGGAAACGAUUGAAGUCAGUCGUACCAGCGGGAAAUCAACCUUUCGGGUGGGGUUUUGGAGUUUUGAAGAGUGUUAAAACCUUUGAGAUUUCAAAAUGUUUGCUCUUUUGGUGUACUUUCUCGUAGGUAGGUUAACGUCGAUCUUGAAUGCCAUAAAAUAAUUGGGGGAAGGUAGCUCCUUCGGGAGUGUUAUAGCCCUUGAUAGAUGUGAUGUUUGGGGUCGAGGAUUGCAACGGAUACCCUUUGGGGCUAGCCGCCUGAUCUCUAAUCGGUGUUGGGUUACGGAUAGCAUGCUGACCGUGAUCUAAUUACUGGUUAAAAGGUUAGAGCGUGCAUAAAUUCGUUAAGGAUGUUGACGUA
rnacentral:rRNA from 1 species